AGAAUGCACUGCGUUCCAAAUUAUUACGUCAUAAAGGUUCUAUAUUUUGUUUUUCAAUUAGGGUUCUAUGGAUCGCUGAAAUCAAUCUCAGACACCUUUGAUCAUUUAUUUGCAAGGUGAGCUCAGUUAAGGGAAAAACUACUAAAGAAGGACGUUCCACAUUAUUAAGCAGACCAACGUUUUCAAGUAAUAUAGGAAAGAGAAAGGAUCUCUCUGCUGCUGAAAGGUGUGAAAUAGUUGAAUGCCUUGAACAAGGUAUGAAAACUUUAGAUAUUUCUUGAAAACUUAAGUGUGAUCAUCGUACUGUUAAGAGAUUUGUGGCUGUUUCAGAGAACACAUCGAUAAAGGCACAAUGAGGAAGGUUUCUGCCAGACAAAUACAUCGG